UACAGAGGUGGCAAGCGUUGUUCGGAUUUAUUGGGUGUAAAGGGCAGGUAGGCGGUUAAGUAAGUCUGUUGUGAAAUCCCGGGGGCUCAACCCCGGAACUGCAACGGAAACUACUUAGCUGGAACAUAGUAGGGGUGAGGGGAAUUCUCGGUGUAAGGGUGAAAUCUGUAGAUAUCGAGAGGAACACCAAUGGCGAAGGCACCUCACUGGACUAUUGUUGACGCUGAGCUGCGAAAGUAGGGGGAGCAAACAGGAUUAGAUACCCU
rnacentral:rRNA from 1 species